UUAAUCUGUCUCGUUCUGUCAAGGGGAAGAGAAAGGAGGUAGCCCAGAAAAGAAGAUGCAGACAGGCCAGCCUGAUGAAGUGGGAAAACAGAUGGAAGAUGCUGAUCAAAGUGUCACAGCAGCCAAUGAGAGCAACCCCACCAGCAGCACUAAAGAUGAUGUGAAAGCCCAGGAUAAGAGCUCACAAGAGCCCGACGCAACUCCACCAGACACCAGACCAAAUUCUGAAGAUGGCCAAGGUGACAAGAAUGCACGGGAAUGAGACGACAAUCAGCCUCAUAGGAACGAGUGCCGGCAAACUGUGUGAAGGCAAACAUCACACCAAUUUUGUCCCACGCCAGGGAGUCGCCCACAAACACUGAGAAAAGUGUUGACCCCCCCCACUUCAUUCACCAUUUUUCCUUCUAUUCAACCUGUAUUUCCUUUCCGCUUCCUCAUAUUGAAAAUAAAUCCGAUAUAUAGCUAUAUUAAAAGGAUCAAAUGAGAGUUUGAACAUAUCCGAGAGAUUGCAGGGAUUGUGGAGCUGGAGGACGGCUGCUAUACCUCACUGACAUGCUGCUUGAUCAAUAGUUUUUUUGUUGUUGUUGUAGUUUUUUUUUUCUCAAUAUGGCAUCC